rnacentral:lncRNA from 1 species
UUCAUGAAUUUGAGCUUCCAAAAGCUUUUCCAUAAACUAUAUACAGCUCUCCCUCAUUCUUGGAUUGCUUUGGUGAUCAAAUUACUAACAAAAACACCAAAACUUACACAAUUUGAUUAGAAAUGAUUGCAAGGGUCCUUAACAUGUUAAUUGAGUUAAAAGGCAAUAACUACUACUCAAAAGUGUUUAAAAAGAUUAAUUACAAGCUAUAAAAUAGCACUUUUUGAGUAGU